GGAAUCGAUCUCGGAAUCGAGCUCGGAAUCGAGCUCGGAAUCGAGCUCGGAAUCGAGCUCGGAUUCGAGCUCGGAAUCGAGCUCGGAUUUGAGCUCGGAA